GGGGGUAUAGUUUAGUUGGUAAAAUGCUAAUUUUGCAUAUUAGUCACCUCGGUUCGAAACCGAGUACCUCCA
rnacentral:tRNA from 1 species